CGGACCAAUGAUGAGAGUGUGUCAUGAGCCAAGGAUUAUGAUUAGUUAAACCUGUUCACCUGGGGUCCAAA
rnacentral:snoRNA from 1 species